rnacentral:misc_RNA from 1 species
GAUGAAGAACGCAGCGAAAUGCGAUAAGUAAUGCGAAUUGCAGAAUUCCAGUGAGUCAUCGAAUCUUUGAACGCACAUUGCGCCCGCCAGUAUUCUGGCGGGCAUGCCUGUUCGAGCGUCAUUUCAACCAUCAAGCCCCCGGCUUGUGUUGGGGACCUGCGGCUGCCGCAGGCCCUGAAAACCAGUGGCGGGCUCGCUAGUCACUCCGAGCGUAGUAAUACAUCUCGCUCAGGGCGUGCUGCGGGUUCCGGCCGUUAAAAGCCUUAUUUACCCAAGGUUGACCUCGGAUCAGGUAGGAAGACCCGCUGAACUUAAGCAUAUCAAUAAGCGGAGGA